rnacentral:tRNA from 2 species
GGGCCACUAGCUCAUCUGGUAGAGCACUACCCUUUUAAGGUAGGUGUGCCGUGUUCGAGUCACGGGUGGCUCACCA